CUCGACCCGCCUUCGCUCCUCCUCUCAGCUGAAACCACUCUGGUGUCUGCGGCCGCCAUCUUUGUUGAUGUGUCAGCGUUCAGUUCCUCUUAGGAGCUUCCAGCAGGAACAAGAGGAGGGAGAACGAUCCCUCUAUCCUCGUUACUUUUAGCAAUGGGAGAGCAACUACUAUUGCAACUAAUACUCUGGUUUCUAGCUUCCUAGCAAACUGAUUCUUGGUAGAAAGAUGGAUGAGCAAUUACCAGAACAGCAAAGUACUCUGGGGCCGAUCAAUCUGUCAAAGAGUGAUGACAAAUCUUCUAGUUUAUCAGCUGUUGAAGAAGCUGAUACAACACUGGGAAUUCAAGAUGGUCUACAAAUUACAUACACUGGAGGUGAAAAAUGCCCGUUGAGCAUAGAAAAUAAACAAUUGACAUUGGAUCCUAGUUCAGCAGCUACUGAUGCAAGUGCGACUGGGGAUAUUGUUGAUGCACAGCUUACACCAGAUGUUAAUGGAGAUGGAGAUUGUUGUACGAAAUCAUUUGAAAUGCAGACAAAAGGAUCCAAGAACGUAGACUGUUUACCUGGGGCAGAAUGUGAAAGACAGGUUUCUAAAACUGAUGACAUAAAUCAGUCCUUGGUAGACCUGUUGCAUGAUCAUAUGAAAAGGCCUCAUGGGGUCUGCUCAGAAAGCCCUUAUGACACAGAUUGUACUAAGAACCUUAUCUCAACAAUACAGAAUGCUUCUCAGGAAGCUUUGUUAGAAGAAAUAGAGUCUGAACUACUAUCAACGGAUUUAUUGAAAGACAAUAAGCUUCCAAACGGUGUAUACAAGAGUGAAGCUACGUUGGCUGUACUUGAAAAAUGCAUGGAAGAUAAAUAUCAGCAGCAAGAACAUACAAUAAAGAAAUUGAUUAAAGAGAACAAAAAGCAUCAGGAACUAAUUUUGGACAUUUGUUCAGAAAAGGACAACUUAAAAGACGAACUGAAGAAAAGAACAGAAACUGAAAAACAGCACCUCAGCAUUAUUAAACAGUUAGAGGCCAAAAUAGAGGACCUUCAAAAAGAAGUUAAGGUUGCUAAAGAUAAACUUGUAUCCCAAGAUUCUGCUGCGAAAAAUGCUAUACAACAACUGCACAAAGAGAUGGCUUUUCGUACAGAUCAGGCAAACAAGAAAUGUGAAGAAGCCCGCCAAGAAAAAGAAGCCAUGGUAAUGAAGUAUGUUAGAGGAGAAAAGGAGUCCCUAGACCUCCGAAAGGAAAAGGAAAUCCUUGAAAGAAAAUUGAGAGAUGCAAAUAAAGAAAUGGAAAAGCACGCUAACAAAAUAAAGCAGCUUUCCCAGGAAAAAGCACAGUUGCACCAGCUCUUUGAAACUAAGGAAGCUGAUGCCAACAGAAUGUCAAGAGAAACAGAAAAACUGAAAGAAGAAAUCAAUUCUCAUAUGAUCAAAGUAAAAUGGGCCCAAAACAAAUUGAAAGCUGAAAUGGAUUUACACAAGGAUACCAAAGAUCGGCUUAGAGAGGCAUCAGCAAAGGUGACUCAAGCAAAAGAGGAAGCUGACCAAAUUCGAAAGAACUGCCAAGAAAUCAUUAAAACAUAUCAAGAGUCUGAAGAAAUUAAGUCAAAUAAAUUGGAUGUAAAACUCCGGCUUACAAAAGGAGAGCUUGAAAAACACUUGCAGGAGAAGUCUGACCAUCUAGAGAUACAUCAUGCCAAAAUAAAAGAACUCGAAGAUGUGAAGCGAACAUUUAAAGAAGGUAUGGAUGAGCUACGAACCCUAAGGACAAAGGUCAAGUGUCUAGAGGAUGAACGACUGAGAACAGAAGAUGAAUUAUCAAAAUACAGAGAAAUUAUUAAUCGUCAGAAGACUGAGAUUCAGAAUCUGCUAGAUAAAGUGAAAAUCAUAGAUCAGCUCCAGGAGCAACAUCAGAGAGAUGCACAAGAAAUUAGCUCUUUGAAGGAAGAAGUGGGCAGUCUCAACUCCCUGCUUACUGACUUCCAGAAGGACAUUGAUGGCAGCCGGAAAAGAGAAUCAGAGCUAUUGGUCUUCACUGAAAAAUUGAGCACCAAGAAUGCCCAACUACAGUCAGAAACCAACUCCUUACAAAUGCAGGUUGAUAAGCUCACGUACAGUGAGAGAGAGUCUUGGAAUCAGCUGGAACUUGUGGGGCAAGCAAGAGAUGAACUGGCAAGUAAAUUGCAGAAGGAAGAGGAGCUUCACAGAAACAACAUUCAGGUGUUGCAGACGGAAUUAGCAUCUCAGCAGAAAGCAUUAGCAGACCUGAACACGCAAGUGGAUGAAUUAAAAGAUGAGUUGAUCACUCAGAAGCGAAAGCACACAGCAAAUCUUAAAGACCUCACCAAGCAACUUCAGCAAGCACGAAGAAAACUGGAUCAGCUUGAAAAUGGCAACUAUGAUAAAGAUGUCAGCAGUAUGGGGAGUCGUUCUAGUUCAUCAGGAUCUCUUAAUGCUCGAAGCAGUAAUGAAGAUCGGUCACCAGAAAACAGUGGCUCUUCAGUAGCUGUGGAUCAUUUCCCUGAAGUGGACAAGACCAUCUUGAUUGAGAGAAUAGUAAGGUUGCAGAAAGCACAUGCUCGGAAAAAUGAAAAGAUGGAGUUCAUGGAGGAUCAUAUCAAACAGCUGGUGGAAGAAAUCAGGAAAAAAACCAAAAUAAUCCAGAGCUACAUUUUGAGGGAAGAAGCUGGCACGUUGUCGUCUGAGGCGUCUGACUUCAACAAAGUGCAUUUAAGUAGGCGUGGUGGGAUCAUGGCCUCUCUCUACACAUCUCACCCAGCAGACAGCGGGCUCACUUUAGAACUCUCUCUGGAGAUAAACAGGAAGCUCCAAGCAGUGCUAGAGGAUACUUUAUUGAAAAAUAUUACGCUGAAGGAAAAUCUGCAAACUCUAGGAACAGAAAUAGAGCGGCUAAUUAAGCAGCAGCAUGUAUUGGAGCAGAGGCUGAAGCAAACAUAGCUGAGUGCAAGGCCAUGGAGGCAGGAAGGACAGGCGCUCCAUACCCUCUUGCAGGGGGUGGUGCGGCAGUGGUGGUGGAUGAUGGCUUGUGGUCCUCCACACCUUGUGGGAUUCUAACUCCCGUUAGCCUGAGCCAGCAUCGCCAAAGGCCAGAAAUGAAUCCAGCAACAUCUGGAGGGCCAGACUCCUCAACCAGGACACAGAGUGAAAAGAAAAGUCACCUGCUAUUGCUUGCUGGAACGGUAGGCGUUGCUGGAAGAGAAUAACAAAAGAAGCAUCUCUGCCUAAAAUAUGUAGGUGAUUAUGUGAUUCCGAAAAUGCAAAUUGUAAAGCAUUAAAAAUAAUUAAGCAUAACAGUAGUCUUGCUGGUGGGAUAGCAUUCGGUUAGCAAAAACAAGGAGCAAUCAGUAAAACUGAGCUCUUGAGGCUUUGGGGGGAAAGAUGGUGAGCUGAUAGGAGCUUCAGGUUUGCCUCUUUCUCUUGCUUUGGCAAGCACUAGCAUGCAUUUCCAAGAAGCAGAGCAACAGAAGGAGGCUCCAGUUUCUUACGGUUUAAACAUUGACAUUAUAUGUGGUUUCUCAUGUUCCUUUUCCAGGGGAGGGCAGUGCAUGUUCAGGUUUGUGCUUGUCCUGUUCUGAGAAGGAAGAUUAGGCAAAUGCCUGCCUUCCCCUCCUUGCUUUUCAGGAAGUCCACUGAUUUAAUGUGAAUGCAUUAUUCUAACUAGACUUUUGUUUUGCUUGGUUACAAGAUAGGAGCUAUCCCAGACUACACUGCAGUAAAACUCUUGAUAUUCGUGACUGCCUUUAAGCUGAACUAAUCAAAAGACUAAAGAAGAAAAUGGACAUGCUUUUCAAAUUUAAUUAACUUUCCUCCUUUAACUCCACCCCACCCACCCCCCAAAAACAAAAAAAUCAGGAGGAAGUCUUGAGAGGAAGGCAGCCUCCAUUUCAAGUUGCAGUGUUUUUUGUAUUUGUUUGUUCCAAAGCUCCACAAACUGUCUACAUGGUUGCAUGUGACAGCUCCAUUCCUCUUCUCAAGUGUAAUGUGAGUCACACUUUGAGAACUGCUUUUUUAAAAACAAACAAAACCUGAUCAAAUUUAUUGUGUGAACAUGUAUAGAGUGCUAGAGUUUGUAUUUUUAAAAAAAUAUCUAUUUCAUACCUGUAUACAGUAGCAACAUCACAUUAGCCUUCCAGAUUUUCCCUUGUGGCGUGAGGGAGAGAACUCUCCUCAUUGUUGUACAUAACAAACUUAGGCACUUUUCCCAAUUUAGUUUUACUUCAUUAUGUAUAAAUUAGGAAAAGAGUAACUAACUGUACAAGUCUGCAUUUUUUUCUUCAACGCCGCAGGGGGUAGUCCUUGUUAGUCACAAAUUAUUUGUUUUUCAGGACUGGCACUUAAGUGUUUGUAAAAAAAACAAAAACAAGGUUUCUUAAUUUUUUUAUGGCAGAGUUGUAUUUAUUUUCAGAGUAGUGUGUCGCUAAGCAUCACAAAUUUAGCCUAUCAUCUAGGUAUACGCUUGAAAAGUUUUAUAUUUGGAAUUGCACUGAGUCUUGUUUAAAAUACAUUCAGGCCUGGAACAGCCUUUUCUACUUUCCUAAGGAACAUGGACAAGUCAGGUCCUUCCUUUUCACUUGUCUUAAUUGAUCCUGCAUGGAGUUUGCAUGUCUGACCUAGACUAUUACAUUAGAAAAAGGAGUUUGAAAGAAGAAUCGUGUGGCCAAAGCCAUGUUCACUAAAAACUCUGUUUUGAGACACCUUUGAUAUGCUUAAUUUCUUCUUCCGUUAUUAAUGGAGGAUAUCAAUAAACUCUGUGAGUGCAUGUUACUUGAUCGGGCAGCAACUACCAGGCUGUGGUGAGCCAAUUGUCUGAAUCAGCAGGCAUAUGCAGGACUAGACUUUUUGAGCUGUGUCCAGCGUUAGUCAUAUUCGGAUGGGUCCAUUAAUGACUGACAUAUGUCCAUUAAUUUCAGUGGGUCUACUCUGAGUAGAACUUAGUUGGAUGCAUCCCUUAGUGGUAUGCCAUAAAGCCACCUGUUUUCAUUGGCAUGCAAAAUGUAAAACAGCAUAUUCUGCAUGCAGCACUCUGUUACAAAAAGCUAACCCAGAGAACAGAAAGCAGUGCACAAGCAAGAUUUUGAAGUGUCCAGUAUGCACUCCAAGUUCAGCCUUGAAAGAAGAAUUAUAAGGAUUGUUGAAGAACCAGGGGGAUGUACUCCAAGAACUGUUUUUUGUGCAAUGUAGGGCUCCACUCUCUGCCGCAGGGUGUAUUACUCGGAUCCAAGGGAAGUACUUUCUCUGGAAAGCAGAGAAGAACUUUGGGAUAUCCUCACUCUGAACAUGUUCAUAAUUUUGUUAUGUGUAUUUCAGUACAUAUCAAUCCAGUUCAGACAUACAAAUCUCAGCUUAGCCAAGAUGUGCACAGACCUUGUGCUUGCAUGAUCCAUGCUUGCACCAUUCCUCCCCUCAGCGUGACAAGAUUAAUGCAAUAGAUUUCCUAUUAACCACAGUUUCCUGUUAUAUUCAAACUAGGCAAAAAUGAUAACCAGGUUCAGAACAAGCUAGACUCUUUACUACAGGUUGGCUUCUUCUGAACCUAGUAAUCACACUUUCCCAGUUCAGACAUAACAGAAAACUAUGAAUAAUUAAUCUCAUUAUGCCAAAAAUAGAAGGGGAAGCAUGAAGGCUUGUACAUAUCUCUACUGACAGCUGAUAUAUUUGUAUGUCCUAACCAAUCUAAGUACAGAAGGCAUGUUGCCCAUAGCUUCUACAGAAGUACCUAAUACUGGUGGCCUUUCUUAGUAUGAAAACUAUCUGUGUGUGCAUACUUGUCCUUGUUAUAUGCUGAAUUCUUAUGGGAGAUGUCCUGGCACCAAAAAUGUAGAAAGACUAAAUGUUUCCAAUGACUCCAUUCUAGCAACAAGUUUUGCUUUGUACAAUAGCAGAGAAAUAUGGAUGAUGAUAGUAGAACCUGAUAAUUUGUAUUUUCCAGUGUAAAUGGAGUGAAGGAAAAAUACUGUAGAAAUAGAAAUGUGCAAUUAUUAUGCUUUAAAAAUGAGCAGCUUUAAUUUUACAAGUCUGAAUUAGAGCUUCCUUCUGUGUUGAUCCUCUGUACUAUGUAACAGUUUGAGAUGGGUGGUCUUCUGGGUUGUACAAAGUACAGCUUUCAAGGUAUUUUUCUAAUGGAAAUGUUAACAGUAUCUCUCAUUAGUCCUGUGCUCCUUUAUCACUUUAAAGUUUGAAUAAUUAGGAAGCAAUUGGAUUUGAUUAUAUCUUUGUCAUUCUUUCAUAGAUGCAAUUUGCAAAUUCUGAGAGGGCAGCUAGAAGAGAUGAUUGGAGAUCUGAAAUAGACAAAUAUAGCCAUACAGGAGGAUUCAGGUUUGGAUAGUCGUACUAUAGGAGCAAGGGUUAGCAUGGGAGUCAAAGUUUAUCUUCUGGGUUGAAAUUGCUCCCCACCCCACCCCGAUUAACCACCUCUUCCUCCUGAUCCAAAUCUGUCGCAAAUAUUUAAAUUGCCCAUUAUAUAUAGGAAAUCCUUAUAAGCAUGAACAGUGCAUGGCCAGAGCAUAUUCAUGGCUAAAAUUGUGUGAAAAAACCAGUAAUAUUUCAAUGAAAGAAAAUAGUUGACUGGGAUUGCUGAUUAUUACAUAUGGUGUGUAAAUAAAUCCAUAAAUAAUGUAAACAAAUAGUGCCCUGAGCUUUGCAAAGGUUCAGGAAUUUCCCUUCCUGUGAUCAUCUUGGAUUAUAGCAUCCAUCCCCAGCUCUGGUGACUCCAGAUGGUUUGGACUACCACUCCUGUCAUCAAUGGCCCUGCUGGCUGGGGCUGUUAAGAGUUUCCUUUUGCUUUCUUCUCCUGUCUCUCUCUUCCUCUGGGAACUCUUUUCUUUACUGACUUUCAGGUUUCAUUGCAGUGUGCAUGAUGUCCCUCAACAGCCACAAGUAUUCAUUUAUGUGUAUACUGUGGGCUACUUUAAAAAAAAGUAUCCAAAUUCUUUACCAUGGUGAUACAAAUUCUGUGCCAAGAAAAGCUGGCUCCCAUAAUCUAUGGAACGUUAUGGAAAGUUUUGUCACUGACAGUGUCGUGAAGCUACAUAAGGCACUGAAAUCCAUAACCCUGUGGAAAGCCUAUCAGCCCCUAUCUCCUCCAUCUUUUGAGAUGACCCACUCCUUUCAAACCUUUCUUUCCAGCCAUAAGGACUAGAGCUGGGAUCCCCAACGUAUGUGAUACAUUUGGGCCAUAGCACCCCAGACACCUUGUAGGUGCCUGCUAAGGUCUCCUGCCCCUCUUAACUUUUUACUUUUUAAAAAAUGAGGUUAUUGGUUUGGGAGGGGAUUUCCUGUUUGGGCAUGUAUAGGUUUUUGUCUGUUUGGAAGAGGGGUUCUGAGCAUCACCAGUUUUUUUAUGUGUGAAAUUGGUGUUUUGUGGUGCCUAUGACAGUUUCUUAGAUUUCCAAAUACCAAGAAGGUUAGGAAGCACUAAGCUCGAGGCCUGCUUUAGGAAUUUAAUGAGAGCUGAGCUUCUCAGGAUGCCCAGUUCUGUACCUGGUACCAAAUUUUGUACUUUAAUUGUGUUUGCACAAUUGUGGAGUAUGCAUAGCUUUGCCAAUAUUGUUACUUCACCACUACCAUGCUUUUCUGCCGCCUUCCUUUUCUGUGCAGUAGAAUCAGCAGAUGGCUAAUCCAUGUGUGUAUUUACACAGUCUAGAGGAAGCAAAAAUAGUUAAUGCUGUUCCUUUAACCACUAGAUGUAUUUAGAUCAGCAUAUUAGGGCAUCUUAUUUUGAAUAUUCAGAAUGGUUAAUUAGAUAUCUUCAGGGGUGCCUGCAGCAAACCUUCCAAAGGACAAAAAUGGUGAACCAGCAAUUUCCACAGAGGGGAGCUGAGUUAGUGCACUGCAGAAAAAAACAGAACAAAAGAGUUUUGUAGCACCUUAAAGGCUAAUAAAUGUAUUAUGGCAUAUAAGCUUUCAUGGACCAGAGUCUAAUUCACUAUAUGUAUGAAGUAUUAUCAGCAGUAUCUGAAGAAAGUUUGAUUUAGCAUUGCCAUAUGCUCUGCACUGUUGGGCAUUCAUAGUAGCAACAUGACAUCUUCAUUGGCCUUUUAAUUCCUGAUUAUUUUUGCUGAUGAACAGACAAUGGUAAUACUAGGACUAGAGCAUGCUAUAAGCAGGAAAAUGUGAGGAACUGAAUAUUUAUGAAAUUGGUUCAAAAUUUUAAUAAUGGGAAAACAAGGAAUUGUUGUUAAUGCUAUAUAAUGCAUUCCUGAAACAGAACUUAAUAAGCUGUUGUUCAACUGUUCCUCUCCUAAAGGGGGGAGGGGAGCAGAAUUCAGCCAGAAGCUGUUGGUAGGCUGCAGUAGGUUUGAUCUGAUUCUGCAUUACACUCCUGUUGAAAAUAUCCAAAUAAAUGGAAAACGUUUCCAACCUUACAUUACAAUUCUUCCUUUUCAAAACCAUUCAAGAAAUAUAUUUAAGAAUAACCUGGCCCUUGGCUGUGAACUUAUGCACACUUCUUUAGGAGUACCAUCCCCUUGAACUCAAUGGGACUUUCUUUUGAGUAGAAAUACCCAUGAUUGUGCUGCUAAAUAGGUCACCAGAACUUUCUGUCCUCAAAGGAGGAAAAGUACUACUGAGCCUCUUAAAAGCAGAGUUUGAAACGGGCAUGCCAGAGUUCACAGAAAGUAUUAAUGAUAAAUAAUGGUCUGUCUUCAUUUGGGGACAGAAAGAUACAGCAAACUAGAAAUGAAGAGACUGGGUGCCCUCAGUCUGCUUUUAAGAUUCCUUUUUGUUCUGUUAAUAGAGCUCCUCUUUCUAGUCUUUUAAAUUCAAGUGCCAACAGGUCUCCAGACAGGUCAGCUUAGCAGCCAAUUCUGAUGUCUGUUCUAAAUGGGAAGGUUGCCCACAGAUUUGGAUUCAAAAUCUUGGUACCAGUCAGCAAGUUUUCCUAGCAAGUUUUCUGUUCCAGUUCCUUAACAGCAGCAUCCUUUACCCAGUGUCAGAAUAACAGUAUUAACUGUUAAUAAGUUGACUUCUAUAGGAUGUAGGGCAACCUCUAUUUUUUUUUAAAAAGUCAGUAAUCCGUCGUAACGGUUGUCUGCAUAUACAUGAAAGUUAAUGGUAAAUCAUAGGUAUUUUUGCAAUCAACAGCACACAUACUGAGAGGCAGGGUUACUGUCAUCUGAACACAUAUCUCAUACAAGAGGGACAGACCUAAGAAUACUGACUUGUGUAUGCAUGUAUGCAUCAUCCAUGACAAUUUUAAAGAGCACAUAAAUGAGCUGAUGUACACAGUUAUGUACAUCACUUGAUGACUGGCUGAAUGACCACUGAAAAGUGUUGUGUUUCAGGUGAUGUUGGGUGAUAGUUCUAUCUUGGUAUUAAAUUUGUGAUGGCUGAGUCAUACCUGCAAGCAAUCAGUUGAUGUCACUGAGUUUGGUAGUUAUUCUCUAGUUCAGCCUUUCCCAACCAGUGUGCCUCCAGAUGCUGUU